rnacentral:misc_RNA from 1 species
GAUGAAGAACGCAGCAAAAUGCGAUAAGUAAUGUGAAUUGCAGAAUUCAGUGAAUCAUCGAAUCUUUGAACGCACAUUGCGCCCGCUGGUAUUCCGGCGGGCAUGCCUGUUCGAGCGUCAUUUCAACCCUCAAGCCCCCGGGUUUGGUGUUGGGGAUCGGCUCUGCCCUUCUGGGCGGUGCCGCCCCCGAAAUACAUUGGCGGUCUCGCUGCAGCCUCCAUUGCGUAGUAGCUAACACCUCGCAACUGGAACGGGGCGCGGCCAUGCCGUAAAACCCCAACUUCUGAAUGUUGACCUCGGAUCAGGUAGGAAUACCCGCUGAACUUAAGCAUAUCAAUAAGCGGAGGA